CUCUCUCACUGGCAGCAACCCAGCGCUUCCAUUGCUGACCUCUACCGACCUCUACCUGUGGUCCUUCCUCUACUGCAGCAGAGACACUGUUUUCUUCCUUUGUUCUUCCAACCCCAUGGCACAGAAACACUCUCCACUGCGGCCAAGGAUUGCAGGAGAGGUGGCAUCAGUGAUUCAAGACUUCUUUUCCUACCUCUUCAGUGUUUCUUUCAGUGAUCUGAAGUUAAAGCCAGGUGAAUAAACUGACACUGGAACAUUCAGGAACUUCUUCAUGGUCAUGGUCACCCAGCUAGAGUGUGGAAGCCAGGCUGUCUGAUUCCAGGAUCUGUGUUCUUAAUCCUAUACAUAAGGAAGCCAUAAUGAGUCAACCACUAUUUUUAAGAUUCACAGAUGUUCGGGUCCAAUUCACCAGAAUGCCAAGUUAUACAGGGUUGUGGAAUCAAAAACUGCAAUUAGUAAUAAAAUGUGAUGCUAUCUAGAAUGUUUUUCAUACAUAUAUAUGCUUCUUGGGACUCUCCCUGCAGGUUAAGAGAAAUUGAGAAACGAUGGAGAAUUUAAGUGUUUUAGAUCCUACAUACAUUAGACUUAAAAAUAGUAACUAUGUACAUGAGUAUUUGUAAACUUAAGAAUGAACAUAACAUGAACCAUGUGGCACCUAUAAAAUGAAAAUAAAAUACCUACAAACCAAAUGAGAGCAAUAAAAGAAGCUUUAAGGACUUUCACUUCAGGGAGUCUGAAUUAGAUGCGCUUCUUCCCAUUCCUCCCUCUAAUUACAACAAGCUUGGACGUUACAUACAGAACAAACAGAAGGAGUCUCUGAAAGAUGAAGAGAAGGCAAGUAAGCUACAGACUUCACAAUGUAAGGAAUAAUAUGGUGGUGAGUUACAUUUGUGAUUUUUUUUUGUCUCAUAUCCCAUAAUAUCUCAUAUCUCAUAAUCAGUUAGAAAGCACAAUGGAAAAGUAUUCCACUGCCAAUGGUGUUAGAGAACUGCUCACAAAUUCAACAGAAAUGCACAGAUACCAAAGCAGAAAGGACAAUAAACAAGAGUCUUCAUGGUCAAAAGAUUAGAAGCUGCAGCUUUCAAUGGGAGGGACAGGUUCUGGACCACACUGCAGUGCUUUUCUGCUUUCUGUGCUUUCCCACUCUAGAGCUGAAGAAGGUAACGACCCCAAAAUGUCAAUAUACGUAGACCAAAAACCAGCCCCAAUAAAAGUCUGCUCUCUCUAGCCAAAGGACUACAGUAGGGCAGCCCAGCAAGACAGAAAACCUUCAGACAACCUACCCCAGCCAAACACUACCAAAAAAAGUAAAGUGAGCCAUCACCCAAUCCACAUCAGUAAAAACUAAGUGGAAAGUCCAGACUUUCACCUCAAGAGGUUGCGACAAGCUACUCCAAUACCCCUGCUGGGAUAGUGUCACAGAAGGCUAAAUAAGGAGCUGUAAUGUUGAUUCCCCUCCAGAAGUAAAGAGUCCGUACCUGCUAUUUUCAGAGAGACCACAUGGAAAGCCUAGAUUUCAACACCUACCCAGCAUUAAUGAGGUAUUCCUUCCCUUCUUUACUCUCUGGUGUCAAAGAAGCUCCAUGCAGAGUCAGAAUGUUUGGCAUUACUCCUCAGUAGGGAGGCCACCCCCACCACGGUGUUAGUGGAGACCAUGUGAGGACCAGGACUUGUACCCUGCCCAGAAGUAAUGAGUAGACCCCCCUCUACAGGAAGGCCAAAGGGCAACCUAAACUUCUACCUCUCUCUGGCAGUAAUAAAGUAGGGCCUCACUUUUCCCUGCUGAGCAAUGUCAAAAAAAAAAGCCAGCUGAAGUAAAAGCUUAUUUCUUUCUUUCUUUAUACAUAUUUUUGGAGACAGGGUCUUAUUCUGUCACCCACGCUGGAGUACAGUGGCCUCAUCAGGUCUCACUGCAGCCUCAACCUCCUGGGCUCAAGCAAUCCUCCCACCUCAGCCUCUUGAGUAGCUGAGACCACAGAUGUGCACCACCACACAUAGCUAACAUUAACAUUUUUUCUAGAGAUGGGGUCUUCCUGUGUUGCCCAGGCUGGUCUGGAACUCCUGGGCUCAAGUGAUCCUCCCACCUUGACCUCCUGGAGGGCUGGGAUUACAGGUAUGAGUCAUCACUCCAGGCUGAAGCUUUAUAUAAUAACCAGAGUCUCAUAUUACAAAAUGUCAAAGAUUCAGUCAAAAGUUACUUGAUAUCAAUGGACAAGAUCUCAAACUAAAUGAAAAAAAGACAAUUAAUAGAUGCUAACACUGAGAUAACAAAGUUGUUAGAAUCAUCUAACAAAGAUUUUAAAGCAGCUAUAAUAAAAGUGCUACUGCAAGUGAUUAUAAACAUGCUUGAGACAAAUGAAAAAGUGCUAUAAAGCUAAGAAAUAAAAUAUAUAAAUAAGAAUCAAAGAGAAAUUAUAGAACUAAAAGAUACCAUAACUGAAAUGCAAAGCUCCGUGGAUGGACUCAACAACAGAAUGGAAAAGACUGAGGAAAGAAGUAGUUUACAGGAAAUUAGAAUAGACUAGAAAAAAUGAACAAGACCCUGUGCUAAAGAGCAAAUAUUUAUGUCAUUGGAUUCCAGGAAAGAGAAAAGAAUGAAAAAGUACUUAAAUAAUGGCUUAAAAACUUCUCACAUUUUGCAAAGAUUUAAACCUACAAUUUGAGAAGCUGGGUAAACCUUAAACAGGAUAAAUCAAGGACACUCACACCAAGAAACAUAGUAAUUAAACUUCUGAUUAAGGAAGAAAAAGAAAAAUCUGGAAAGCAGCAAGAAAAAAAUGACACACUUUCUAUAUGGUAAAAGCAAUUUGAACAACAGAAGAUUUCUCAUCAGAAACUGUGGGGACCAUGAGGAAGUAACAGAUAUUUUUCAAGUGCUGAAAUAAAUCAACUGUCAAUACAAAAUGCUCUACUCAGUGAAAAUAUCUUUCAGGAAUAAAGGGGAAAUCAGGACACGCACAGACUUUUUUUAAAUUAAGAAUUUAUUGUCAGCUUAUCUCCCUAAAAGAAUGGCUAACAUUCUCCAAACACGAAGGAAAUUGAUAAGGAAUCUUGAAAUUUCAGUUAGAAACAAUGAAUAUGGCAAGCAAAAUGUAGGUCAGUACACUAAGUUUAAUUUCUCCUCUUGAAUUUUCUAAAUUAUGACUUAUGAUUGAAGCAAAAAUCAUAACAUUAUCUGAUGUAUAUGUAGAGGAAAGAUUUAAGACAGUGAUGUUAUAAAUGAGGGGAGUAAAGGAACAUGAGAUAACCACUAAUAUGACAUACCAAUAGACUAUGAUAAAUUAUGUGUCUAAUGUGAUUACUAGAAAAACCAGUUAAAAUAUAAAGAUUGACGGAGUGAAUUUAAAAACAUGACACACUAUAUGCUGUUUAUCAUAAACUCACUUUGAAGAUAAUGCCAUCGUCAGGUUGAAAUCAAAAGGAAUAAAAUAGUGUAUUAUGUAAACCAUCAAAAAGAGCAGGAAUGGCCAUAUUAAUAACAUUAAAGUCAGCUUCAGAACUAAGGAAAUUAUCAGAGAGGGACAUUAUAUAAUGAAAUAGUCGAUUUACCAAAAGAACAUAGCAAUCAUAAAUGUGCAUGAAGCAAACAACAAAGCUGGAAAAUAUAUGAAGUGAAACUGAUAGAUCUAAAAGGAGAAACAGAUAAAUCCAUUCAUUAUAGUUGGGGCCUUUAUCACCCCUCACUCAACAAUUGAUAGAACUGGACAGAAAACCAGUAAGAAUAUAAAAGAACUCAACAACAUGAGACAAUAGGAUCUAGUUGAUAUUUAUAGAACAUUCCAACAGCAGAAUACAUGUUCUUCAAGUGCUCACAGAACACACAUAUAAAGAUAGACCCUGAGCAUAAAACAAGCCUCAACAAAUUUAAAAGAACUGAAAUACUACAAGUACUUUCUCCAACCACAAAAGAACCAAACUAGAAAUAAAUAACAAUGAUAAUGGGAAAAUCACCAAACACUUGAAAACUGAACAACAAUAUUUUAUAACCCAUGGUCAUAGAGGAAAUCUCAAAAGAAAUUUUAAAAAUGCACUGAACUGAAUGAAAAUGAAAACAACAUAAAAUUUGUGAGACACAUAAAGCAGAACUGAUGGGAAAAUAUAUAGCACUAAAUGCAUGCUCUAGAAAAGAAAAGUCUUCAACCAGUAACCUAAGCUUCCACCUCAAAAACCUAAAAAAAGAAGGAAAAAUAGACCCAAUGCCAGCAGAAAGAUGCAAUAACAAAGAGUAGAACUCAAUGAAAUUGAAAACAGAUAAACACUUUAAAGAAUAAAACAAAGAGCUGGUUAUUAGAAAAGAUCAAUUAAUUGAUAAACCUCAAGCAAGACCGUCAAAAAAAAAAAAAAAAGGACUUACCUAUACCAGAGAUGAAAUGGGAUAUCGCUAUCAAUACUGCAAACAUCAAAAGGAUAAGUAGAUACUAUGAACUGUACACACAUUAAUCUGACAAUUUAGACAAAAUAGAUCAUUUCCCUAGAAAACACAAACUACUACAGCUUACCCAAUAUAAAAUAGAUUAUUUGAAUAGCCUUAUAAGUACUAAAAAAAAAUUAAUUAAACUCAUUAUUUAAAAAUUCCUAAAAAGAAAGCCUCCAGAGCCAAAUUGUUUCCUUCAGAAUUCCACCACAUUCAUAAAGAUUUGACAGCAAUUCUAUACAGUCUCUUUGAGAAAAUAGAAGGGGGUAUUUUCUAAUUCAUUUUAAGGAGCUAGUAAAUACCCUGAUACUGAAAUGUAUACUGCAAAUUGAUAAAAUUAUAGACCCCUGCAUAUUAAAUUUCAAAAUAAAAAUGAUAAAAAUACUUGGGUAAUGAAUAACAGCAUAACAAAAAACCACAGACCAAUAUCUCAUGAACAUAGACACAAAAAAUGCUUCACAAUAUGACAUAGAAUUCAGUAAUACAUGAGAAUUAUAUACCACAACCCAGUAAGACUUAAUCCAAGAAUGGAAGACUGGCUCAAUAUUUAAAAAUCAAUCGAUGUAGUGCAAAUAUUAAUAGCUAAUGAAGAAAUGUCAUAAAAUUAAUGCAGAAAAAGGAUUUGACAAAAUUCAACACUCAUUUAUGUAAAAAUGCUCUGAAAAAUAGGAAUUAAAGGACACCUACAAGAAACUUUCAGCUAACAUAAUUCUUAAUGCUGAAUGAUUGAAUGUUUUCUUCCUGAGCUUGAGAAUAAGGUGAGGGUAUCAUCCCUAAUGACGCUUAUUCAACAUAGUGCUCAAAGUUCUAUGAAGUGCAAUUAGGCAAUAAAGGGAAAUAAAAGACAGGUAAAAGAAGAAAUUAAAUUUUAUUUGAAAAAGCUGAUUGUCUACCUAGAAAAUCUCAAGGAAAACACUAUUAAUAUACAGAACAACCUGAAUGAAUCUUUGGAGAAUUACGCUGCAUCAGAAAAAGCCAAUCACAAAAGAUUACAUACUAUGUAAUUCCAUUUGUAUAACAUUUUGAACUGACAAAAGUAUAGAAAUGAACAGAUUAGUGGUUGUUAGGGGUGAGGGGUUAUGGGUCAGAGAUAGGAGUUGGGGAUAUAAAAAGGCAACCUGAGGGAUCCUUAUGGUGAUUGAAACAUUCUGUAUGUUGGUUCUAUCAAUGUCAAUACUCUGGUUGGACUAUGGUUCCACAGUUUUGCAAGAUGUUAUUGAGGAAAACGGCAUAAAUGGUGCCCAGGAUCUCUCUAUUGUUUCUUACUGAUUAUGUAUCUGCAAUGAUUGCAAAAUAAAAAGGUUUAAUUUUUAAAAAGGAUUAAACAUUACAUAGCAUACACUUGAGUAAAAGACAAAAUCUGGCUAAGGAUUAUUUUUGUCCUAAGUAAUAUGUGGAUUUUGUACAACAUAAAUCACAAUCCCCUAAAAUCUAUAUUGUAAAUUGAUAAAAUGUAAAACCUGUGUAUUACAGAAUAAAAGAUGAACAAAAAUUACAAAACA
rnacentral:lncRNA from 1 species